CACAUUAUUUCAUGUAAGGAAACACGUUUCGAAUUUCAUAUAAAUUAAUCAAUUUAAAAAUUUUAAAAUAUUUUUGACAACGCUUUUUUAAUGUUCACCCUGUAUAAUGACGGGCUAAUAAACAAGUUGAUUUUAUCAAGAUACCAUGUAACUAAGGUUUCUUGGUUACUAAACAUAAUCAUUUAUUUUUAUUUAAACUUUCCGCAUCACGUUUAUAAGAUGUAACUUGAAAUUACUGUAUACAACAUUAACUACUGCGGCGAUAAAAGAAAAAAUACGUAACCUAAUAAUAUAGUAUAGUAUGUACUUGAAUAAUUAUUCAUAUGUAGACUAACAAUUAUUUAUUAAGAAUCCCUCCAACUCCACAUCAUUUCUGAAUGAUAGAAAUCGAUGGACACAAAAUUAUUGUAUAAAUUAUAAUAUUGUACAACUGUAUAAUGUUAAUAAACAUAUUUUUAUAU